rnacentral:lncRNA from 1 species
GCACUUCAUUAGAGGAGGAGCUCCCUUUGAUCUGCUGCCUGAGUGCGUGGCUGUGUCCUGGGAGGAAGGAUGAAAGAGGCCUGGCCAGGACCCCCAACCCAAAGUUCUGGGCUCAAGGGCAACCUCCAGUUCAGAAGAGGCACUUGGCUUCACUCCAGCCCACAACUGGGGACAGGGGACAACUGAGGAGAAGAUAGCUGGAUUCCCAUAUCUGCUUCUGCAUCCAGUCUGUUGUGAUAUCACGUGUCAUGUCGCCUCUGGAAAGUGCCACUCUACACUUAGAAGUUCAAGAAUGAGAAGAAAAAGGCGGAUAAUGUCUCAGUGUUAUUAUGAAAAUAUUUUUGACCUUGUGGAUCCCCCAGGGAUUCCUUGGCCACACUUUGAGAACUGCUGCACUAUGCCAUUAAUGUUCAUUGAUGACACAUCAAUAUACACAAUGUAUCACCACUACACAUUUUAUAAAGUCUCAGGCAUAUUCAAGGCUGUAUAUCAAAUACAUUGACUCAGCCCCUGUGGAAUACAGGAAGGGAAUGGGAUAAAAGGGGGAAUGAAAUAAAUAAGAUAAAGCAAGAAAGAAUCUG